rnacentral:piRNA from 1 species
UGUGCUAUUGGAUUUGUCUCUGUUGG